rnacentral:rRNA from 1 species
UGAGUACGAGCGGCUACGGCCGCGAAGUGGAUGAUGUCAAGCUUCCAAGAAAAGCCCUAUACCCGUUAAGGCAUGAUGGCCUGUACCCGAAACCGACACAGGUGGGGUGGUAGAGAAUACCGAGGGGCGCGAGGUAACUCUCUCCAAGGAACUCGGCAAAAUGGCCCCGUAACUUCGGGAGAAGGGGUGCCACCGCGAGGUGGUCGCAGUGAAGAGGCCCAGGCGACUGUUUACCAAAAACACAGGUCUCCGCUAAGUCGCAGGACGAUGUAUGGGGGCUGACGCCUGCCCAGUGCCGGAAGGUUAAGGAAGCUGGUCAGCGCAAGCGAAGCUGGCGACUGAAGCCCCGGUGAACGGCGGCCGUAACAAUAACGGUCCUAAGGUAGCGAAAUUCCUUGUCGGGUAAGUUCCGACCCGCACGAAAGGCGUAACGAUCUGGGCGCUGUCUCGGAGAGAGGCUCGGCGAAAUAGAAUUGUCUGUGAAGAUGCGGACUACGUGCACCCGGACAGAAAGACCCUAUGAAGCUUUACUGUAGCUUGGUAUUGUGCUCGGGCUCGGAAUGCGCAGGAUAGGUGGGAGGCUUUGAUCCAUUGCUUGCGGGUGAUGGUGAGCCACUGGUGAGAUACCACUCUUUCCGAGCUAGAGUUCUAACAGCAACCCGUUAUCCGGGUGCUGGACAGUAUCAGGUGGGCAGUUUGACUGGGGCGGUCGCCUCCUAAAAGGUAACGGAGGCGCGCAAAGGUCUGCUCAGGCUGGUUGGAAAUCAGCCGACGAGUGUAAAAGCAGAAGCAGGCUUGACUGUGAGACCUACAAGUCGAACAGGGAGGAAACUCGGCUUUAGUGAUCCGACGGUUCUGCGUGGAAGGGCCGUCGCUCAACGGAUAAAAGUUACUCUAUGGAUAACAGGCUGAUCUCCCCCAAGAGUUCACAUCGACGGGGAGGUUUGGCACCUCGAUGUCGGCUCAUCGCAACCUGGGGCUGAAGUCGGUCCCAAGGGUUGGGCUGUUCGCCCAUUAAAGCGGUACGCGAGCUGGGUUCAGAACGUCGUGAGACAGUUCGGUCCAUAUCCGGUGCACGCGCAGGAAUAUUGAGAGGAUUUCUCCCUAGUACGAGAGGACCGGGAGGAACGCACCUCUGGUGUGCCAGUUAUCGUGCCAACGGUAAACGCUGGGUAGCCAUGUGCGGAGUGGAUAACCGCUGAAAGCAUCUAAGUGGGAAGCCCACCUCAAGAUGAGUAUUCCCAUGGCAUAAGCCAGUAAGGUCACGGGAAGAACACCCGUUGAUAGGCUCUACGUGGAAGCGCAGUAAUGUGUGAAGCGGAGGAGUACUAAUAGACCGAGGGCUUGAC